rnacentral:snRNA from 1 species
GGAUGUGAGGGUGAUCUGGCUGCGACAUCCGUCACUCCAUGCAUCACCGGGGUUGAUGCGGCUGAUCUGGCUGGCUAGGCGGGUGUCCCCUUCCUCCCUCACCACUCCACGUGCAUCCCUCCCAACACUGCGUGCUCGGUCCAAGAAGAUGACCUUCCCCACUAGAGGAGGACCGGUCUUCAGUCAGGGGUAUGCGAGUAGCUGCCCUCCCCUGCUAGAACCUCCAACAAGCUCUCGGAGCUGGCAGAGCCACAUGGCCCAGGCAUCUCCUCUUUGGGCCCCAGUUCCCGGGUUCCCCCAUGGA